rnacentral:rRNA from 1 species
UACGGGGGGAGCAAGCGUUGUUCGGAUUUACUGGGCGUAAAGGGCGCGUAGGCGGUCGUGACAAGUCACUUGUGAAAUCUCCGGGCUUAACUCGGAACGGUCAAGUGAUACUGUCGGACUAGAGUACAGAAGGGGCAACUGGAAUUCUCGGUGUAGCGGUGAAAUGCGUAGAGAUCAGGAGGAACACCCAUGGCGAAGGCAGCUCUCUGGUCGACCUCUGACGCUGAGACGCGAAAGCGUGGGGAGCGAACGGG